UGAAAAUGUCAACUGAAAUUUUAAGGCUCCAGUUCGCUUUAUGAAUCGAUACCUGAAUGAGGCAGCAUCCCAUCUAGCAGCCUGUUAAAGUCUGUGAGAGCCGCCCACCCUCUACCUGGAGGAACGAGCUUCCUUAUCUGAAGUCAAGGGACACAGAAGAACCCUAACCAACAGGUCUUGCUGAGUUUCCCUCAGGUCAGAGAAUAGCUCCAGGCAAUGCCAGGGACCGACGAACCCCACUCUCUGAACAGGAAUGUCUCACCGUGGAAUCAUCCCCCACCCCACCGAACUAAACAGCCAAUCCUAUCCUGCCACCGUCCAAAG